rnacentral:rRNA from 1 species
AGCGAACGCUGGCGGCAGGCUUAACACAUGCAAGUCGAGCGGGCCCUUCGGGGUCAGCGGCGGACGGGUGAGUAACGCGUGGGAACGUGCCUUCUGGUCUGGAAUAACCCUGGGAAACUAGGGCUAAUACCGGAUACGCCCUUUUGGGGAAAGGUUUACUGCCGGAAGAUCGGCCCGCGUCUGAUUAGCUGGUUGGUGGGGUAACGGCCUACCAAGGCGACGAUCAGUAGCUGGUCUGAGAGGAUGAUUAGCCACACUGGGACUGAGACACGGCCCAGACUCCUACGGGAGGCAGCAGUGGGGAAUAUUGGACAAGGGGCGCAAGUCUGAUCCAGCCAUGCCGCGUGAGUGAUGAAGGCCUUAGGGUUGUAAAGCUCUUUUAUCCGGGACGAUAAUGACGGUACCGGAGGAAUAAGCCCCGGCUAACUUCGUG